rnacentral:rRNA from 1 species
UACGUAGGGACCAAGCGUUGUUCGGAUUUACUGGGCGUAAAGGGCGCGUAGGCGGCUUGACAAGUCACUUGUGAAAUCUCCGGGCUUAACUCGGAACGGCCAAGUGAAACUGUCAUGCUAGAGUGCAGAAGGGGCAAUCGGAAUUCUUGGUGUAGCGGUGAAAUGCGUAGAUAUCAAGAGGAACACCGGUGGUGAAGACGGUCCCCUGGGCCGAGGCCGACGCUGAGGCGCGAGAGCGUGGGGAGCAAACAGG